GCGCCUAUAGCUCAGCUGGAUAGAGCGUCGGUCUACGGAACCGAAGGUCUGGGGUUCGAAUCCCUAUGGGCGCACCG
rnacentral:tRNA from 1 species